rnacentral:tRNA from 1 species
GGGGGCGUAGCUCAAAGGAAGAGCGUCGGAGAUAAACGGCAGCUUCAAUGCACGCCGUGAUUAGUGCCGGAAGAGCGGGUUCAAUUCCCGCCGCCCCUU